UACGUAGGGUGCAAGCGUUGUCCGGAUUAUUGGGCGUAAAGAGCUCGUAGGCGGAUUGCUAAGUCAGGGGUGAAAAUCCUGGAGCUCAACUCCAGAACUGCCUUUGAUACUGGCGAUCGUCGAGUCCGGGAGAGGUGAGUGGAACUGCGAGUGUAGAGGUGAAAUUCGUAGAUAUUCGCAAGAACGACCAGUGGCGAAGGCGGACUCACUGGCCCGGUACGUGGA
rnacentral:rRNA from 1 species